AUUGAACGCUGGCGGCAUGCCUUACACAUGCAAGUCGAACGGCAGCACGGGUGCUUGCACCUGGUGGCGAGUGGCGAACGGGUGAGUAAUACAUCGGAACGUACCUUAUCGUGGGGGAUAACGCAGCGAAAGCUGUGCUAAUACCGCAUACGCCCUGAGGGGGAAAGCGGGGGAUCGCAAGACCUCGCGCGAUUAGAGCGGCCGAUGCCUGAUUAGCUAGUUGGUGGGGUAAAAGCCCACCAAGGCGACGAUCAGUAGCUGGUCUGAGAGGACGAUCAGCCACACGUGGACUGAGACACGGCCCGGACUCCUACGGGAGGCAGCAGUGGGGAAUUUUGGACAAUGGGGGCAACCCUGAUCCAGCAAUGCCGCGUGAGUGAAGAAGGCCUUCGGGUUGUAAGGCUCUUUUGUCAGGGAAGAAACACCGGCUCUAACACAGUCCGGGAAUGACGGUACCUGAAGAAUAAGCACCGGCUAACUACGUGCCAGCAGCCGCCGUAA
rnacentral:rRNA from 1 species